UACGUAGGGUGCGAGCGUUAAUCGGAAUUACUGGGCGUAAAGCGUGCGUAGGCGGUUCGUUAAGUCUGUUGUGAAAGCCCCGGGCUCAACCUGGGAAUGGCAAUGGAUACUGGCGAGCUAGAGUGUGUCAGAGGAUGGUGGAAUUCCCGGUGUAGCGGUGAAAAUGCGUAGAGAUCGGGAGGAACAUCAGUGGCGAAGGCGGCCAUCUGGGACAACACUGACGCUGAGGCACGAAAGCGUGGGGAGCAAACAGG
rnacentral:rRNA from 1 species